CUGUAGCUCAGUCGGUAGAGCAAGGGACUGAAAAUCCCUGUGUCGAUGGUUCGAUUCCGUCCGG
rnacentral:tRNA from 1 species